rnacentral:rRNA from 1 species
GGAGAGCACUCCUACGGGAGGCAGCAGUGGGGAAUAUUGCACAAUGGGCGCAAGCCUGAUGCAGCCAUGCCGCGUGUAUGAAGAAGGCCUUCGGGUUGUAAAGUACUUUCAGCAGUGAGGAAGGUGGGUAUGUUAAUAGCAUAUUCAUUUGACGUUAGCUGCAGAAGAAGCACCGGCUAACUCCGUGCCAGCAGCCGCGGUAAUACGGAGGGUGCGAGCGUUAAUCGGAAUUACUGGGCGUAAAGCGCAUGCAGGUGGUUUGUUAAGUCAGAUGUGAAAGCCCGGGGCUCAACCUCGGAAUUGCAUUUGAAACUGGCAAACUAGAGUACUGUAGAGGGGGUAGAAUUUCAGGUGUAGCGGUGAAAUGCGUAGAGAUCUGAAGGAAUACCGGUGGCGAAGGCGGCCCCCUGGACAGAUACUGACACUCAGAUGCGAAAGCGUGGGGAGCAAACAGGAUUAGAUACCAUGGUAG